GUGAAACUAAUAUUACACAGUUCGCUAACUCACUGGAAUUUAAAUAAAAACUUAAAAAAGAUGCAGAGAACGAAACUUAGGGAGCCACAGACAGUAGACCCUAUGUGCAUCCUGACUGGAAGGUUGCAAGUCUGCUCAGAAAGAGGGUCCCUCAAACACACAGCCUGUUUGUUGGCUCGCCUAGGCACUAGGGUUUAGGUCAGAGUUUUAGGGAGAAAGUGCAAAUUCAAGGAUGGGAACAGAUGUUUCUCAUCUUGAAGACUGUCCAGAUGCUGCCACUUGAAAAGAGGAAAGAAGCAACUAAUUCAGCAGGGCUGGGGAAUUGAGAGUUUGAUGCCAGGCUGUAAGUUGCUUGCGGAAACCUCGAGUUCCCGUCGCUGCUGUUGUACGGAUGCCAGCUCCCUCCAGUCUGGGAGCAUUCCCCAAACAGAUAGUGCCGGCACUCACGCCAGGUACCGCACAGGAAGCUGCAAAUGCAUGAAGCGCACACCUCUGAGGGGGAAAGGCCAAGAUUAGGCAAAGAGUCCUAAGGGGUAACUUCAAUUCAUGUCCGUCAAAACACAACCUAAGACAGAAACAUGAAGGGCAAAUAUUUGAUAACAUUAUAUUAGUCUGAACGUGAGCUACGGCAACUAUAUUCCACCUGCAGUCUGGAGAGAGUUAUGCCAUAUGCAAGCAAAAUCAGAGGAAAAAUAUUUUUCAAAAAUCCUCCUAAUGAGUCAAAAGAAAUGGCGUCCACGAGCUUGAAAGGUAAAGGACUUGCAUGUUACAUUAUAAUUUGCAUACUCGAUGCUUUUAGGGCCUGGCAAGUUGUACAAAUCAGUGAAAUGGCUUUUAAGAUGAUAAGAAAUUUGUGAACUGUACUAACUGUAAAGACUGGGCUCCUUUCAAAAUUAAUUUCAAAAGAAAGUAUAAAUAUAGAAAUAGACAUCUUGGUGAGUUCCAAAUCAAUUUUACAGAGUCCACCAAUUUGUGAUAUUAUUUUUAAGUUUGUUUGUUUAUGUCUUUAAGAGAGAGAGAGAGAAUCCCAAGCAGGAUCUGCGCUGUUAGCACAGAAUGCAAUGUGGGGCUUGAUCCCACGAAAUGUGAGAUCAUGACCUGAGGGGAAAUAGAUGCUUAACCAACUGAGCAGACCAAGCACCCCCAAUUUGUGAUAUUUUAAAUCCAUCCCACAGGAUGGACUGAAUUAUCAUUUAUCACUGCAUAAAUGAGAUACUUUUAUUCAGAGAAAAAAACAGGAGUUAGAUAUUCAUCCCAUACCAUACACAGAAAAAUUCCAAAUUUUUUAAGAUAAAAUCAUUUAAAUAAAUAAAGUACAGGAAGUUUAUACUCGGAUGACUUCCUCUGAUCAAAACACAUAGGAAUAAAAUACAAAAAGGAAAAACCAAAAUGGCAUAAUAGGAUAAAAGGUGAACUAAAACUUAUCUUGAAUCAGAAAGAAAGCAGGAUCCUGAGUAGGUCCCAAACCCAUUGGUCAUCUGAGCUCUGGGUCUGGGAGCAGGCAGUAGGGACCAAGAGCUAAGCUCUAUGAGCCCCUGUGAGUAGGGAGCCAAAAGUAGUUCAGGUGAGUCAGGGGCCACUGUUUAAAGUUACAGACAGGAAGGGAGUUCCCUUCUCACAAAACAUAAUUUUAAAAAGCACUGUGCCGUCAGCACCGAGCCCGACAUGGGGCUAGAACUCACCAGCUGUGAGAUCAUGACCUGAGCCAAAGUCAGACACUUCAGUGACUGAGCCACCCAGCCACCUCUUAAAUGUUACUGUUUCUAUGGAGCUGCCCACGUACAAAGGCAAUGAAUACAUUCAGAAUAGUAAAUCAAGAGACCUGUAUGAUUAGCAUCCACACUUUCCACGUCUUCAGUAUCACUGCAGGAAAGAAGCUUUAAACUUUAAUUAUAAGACCCACUUCUGGACUUUGAGGCUAAUUAGAAACAGCCUUAAAACUAUAAGCCAGAGAUAGACAUUUGAGAGAAGGUCUCAAAAUAUCUAAAUUAACACCAUACAGACUUCAGGUUUUACCCACAAUGCAAGCAAAUUAGAUACGAAAGAGUAAACGUGUAUGAAAACACAUACGCACAUACACUAAAACGUUAAAACGUGCUCCUUAGGUACUCACUCACAGGAUACCAAGGAAGCUGUAAUGGAAAUGAUGACACACUUAGAAACAAAUGACAACUGAAAAUACUAUAGCGCAGAAUCUAUAGGAUGGAGGCAUUGGUGUUCUAAGAAUGUAAAUCUAAUAAAGUUCAUUUCUUUGAAAAGUAUUUUAAAACAGAUUUUAUUUUUUUUCAAAAACUAAAUGAGUUAAGCAUUUAACUGAAGAAACUAGCAAAAGUAAAAACAAAAUAAAUCUGAGGAAAGUCGAAGCAAGAAAAUAAUAGGAGCAGGUGUAAGGGAAGUAGAAAACAAAGAAAUGAAAAAAAUCACCAAUGAAAUCAAACCUGAUUUAAGGGGGAAAAACUGAAAGAGAAAUAAGAUUAAUCGAUGAAACGUAACACAAACAUUAGAAAUGAAAAGGACACACCUACAAAUAGCACACUUUAAAAUGAAAUCAAAUUCAGGGAGCAAUUUAACAUAAAUAUAAAUGCCAAGAUAUUAAAUAAUACAGUAGUAUUUAGAAGUAAAGGUGUAUGUAAAAUGAUACAUCAUGUUCUAAAUCCAUUUGCCCUGGGAAUAUA